UAAUAAUAAUAAUAAUAAUAACUAUUCUAUAGUGUUCCAAAGCCAUUAAAGGAGAUAAUAAAAAUAUAAGGUUGUAGAAGUCAAAUAUUGAAAAAUUUUAGAUCUACAUAGUGAAUGAGGAGGAAGAGUUCAUGAGAAAUUAAGUGAGACGGUAAACAAGUUGAAGUGAAUUGAAUAUUUGAUCUCUUAUGCUACAAGUUGGGCACUUCAUGACAAUUCUAGAGAGCUUCUCCAAUGAAAAUCCCAUCAAUAAAAUGGCGUGGUUUGCACAUGGCCGCCAACCGCUGGGCUUUUGGCAUGGUGAGUCCACUGCCUUCCUUCAUGUCAAUUUCCUCAACACCUACCCUUUCCCAUUCAAAGCACUGAAUCAAAGAACCCAAAGUCAAGCCUAUCACCCGAUUUGCCAUCCCCAUACCGGGACAUGCUCUCCUUCCCAUCCCAAACGGCAAUAUCUUGUAGCCAUCAAUUCCAGCUCCAUUCUCUAAUAUUCUUUCAGGCUUGAAACUUUCAGGAUCAUCUCAGACCUCGGGAUCUCUAUGUAUCGCCCAUGCAUUUAUCAACAGCAUUGUGUCCUUUGGCACGUCAUAUCCUCCAACACUACAGUUUUUAGACGACAUGUGUGGAAUUAAGAGUGGUGCAACUGGGUACAAGCGAAGGGUUUCUGUUAUAAUAGCUUGAAGGUAUGGUAGCUUUGAGAGGUCCGAUUCAUCUAUUAGACGACCCUGCCCAACUUCAGCAUCUAUUUCGGCUCUAGCCUUUUCUAACACUCCUGGAUGAUUAAGCAAAUUGGACAUUGCCCACUCUAAAGUUGCAGCUGAUGUGUCUGUUCCGGCCAAUAUGAGGGCCAGAAUGAGUCCUUUGACAAUUUCAUCCGCGUAAUAUUGUGGUUGCAAUUUUUGCAAGGAAAGGAGAUGACUGAUCGUACUGUUUCUAGUAUCUGAACCAUCAUUACGUUGCUCAUCUAGCAAAGCUUGCAACGCCAUGUCACUCUCUUUCCUAAGUCUCUUCAUCUUUUUUAUAAGCCCUUGGCAAUCAACCCAUCUCAGAAAUGGAAAGAAAUCUUCAAUAUUAGCUGCCCCAGCACAUCUUAAAGUUUCUUCUACAAUCUCCUUGAACCUUCUUGCUUCUUCAGUAUCUUUACCAUAAUAACACUUCCCUGAAAGCAUUCUCAUAAUUAUGUUAUAUGUUAGCUCCAAGAACAUGGACUUAAUCUCUACCUUAGCAAAGCCACGGCUCGAUAUAUGAUACAGUUUGCCUAGUAAAAUCUUGAUUUCAUCUCUUCUAGUGUCUAAACACAUGUUUAGGCGAUUUGAAGAGAAGAUCUCUAAAGUUCCGAUGCGGCGAAGAUUGCGCCAUUGUUCUCCAUAUGAAUCUGCCCCGAGCAUGUUAUAGUUGUAGCCUAUGUAUUCACCUACUAGCAAUUUUGGGCGAUUGGCGAAAAUGAUGUCAUUUGUUGUGAAACAUUCCUUGACGGCUAAUGGAGAGGAAACCACCACCACCAAGCGAGACCCAAAUCGAAGGGAGAUUAUGGGACCAUAUUUUUGAGACAAAGUUUGGAGGGAUCGGUGAAGGGGUUCUUUGAGGAGAUGGAGAUGACCAAAAAUUGGAAGAGAAGGCGGGCUAGGAGGGAGGGUUUUACUUGAAGAUUUUGUUGGUGAGAAAAGCUUGAAAGCCAAGAUGAGAAAAAUAACGAGGAGAGAUGAGUAUAGCAACAUAUAAUCUUCCAUUCUUGCUUCCAACAUAGGUUUGGCUAAUAAAGUUUUAUGCUGUUUUUAAGUUAGUUUGCGGAAAUGGCA
rnacentral:misc_RNA from 1 species